rnacentral:tRNA from 1 species
GGAUAGCUCAGUAGGGUAGAGCAUCGGUCUAUGAAACCGAGUGUCGCGGGUUCGACUCCCGCUCCA